UCUCAAUCUUCAUUCUAAUCGUCAUCCACAAAACACGCCCCUUAUGCCAUUAUGUUAACAGCAAAGCGCUCUCUCUCUUGGCAGUGAAGGGGCGACACUCCUCUAUAUCUCAGUUCAUUUCUUUUCUGAAAAAAAUUUCCCCAUUUUUUCUUUGCCAGACAGAAAACCUCAUAUCUUCGUCACUGUUGGUUGUCUUUGUGGCUUCAAUCACCGUCCCAAUCUUCAUUCUAACGUCAUUCAACUGUUUCGUAGUAGUAAUGUCCUCUCAAUCGUCAUUUAACUCGCCGAUCACUGUACUUCAAAGUUUUGGUGAUGGCAAGUGUUGCAAACCUGAAUGCAUGGCUAUUGGUUCCAGCAGCACUCAUUAGCUCUUCCAGCAGGUUCCAGGCACAGCUCCUUCCAACAGGUUCAACAAUCCCAGUUUCUUCUCAAUGACAGCCACAACAACAGCCAUAGCAAUGCUCAACAACCACAAGAAACUUUGUAUAAGCCAAAGCAAAUAUAAUCAUCACCAAUAUUUCACCAAUCAAUCCACAAUUAAUCACAAGAUCAAAUGGGAACAGUAAUACCAAUUGUUUGUAAUAUUAACUGAAAGAGAAAAUGAAACUGAUGAAGAAAUAAAGGUUACUAGGUUUCCAGAGCCAGCCCUCUCCAAUACACUAUGUAAUUCAUUACAAAAUCAAAUAACAAACUGAACAUAUUCUUCUCUGCCAACAUUUAGCAUGCACGGAAGGGAAACUUCAACUAAUUUCAGCUGUUCUGGUGAAUUGUCCAAACUGCCCCUACUCACUUGGUCAUUACUUUUGCUUUCUGCUGGCCAGCAUUCACAACCAUUGGGCUGCCUCCUGGAAACUCCCCUUUUGGCCUUCGAAAGUAGACUUUUGUGAUUAGAUUUCCAUCAAAAAGCUAUCAAUGCAUCUGCUAUCAGCAUAAGGGCUCAUGGAAGACAUCUAACCUCUUGUACGAGCUUCAAGGUCUAGCUAGUGCAUUGAUAAAGCUGCAGAACCUUUUGGAGGCACUUGUCAUUGAGCAAUGAAAAUUUGACCAUGUUACUAGUUUAGUUUCUUCCUCAGUUGAUGAAGAUGAAGUUGUGAGACAAGGAUGCCUUGCUAUAGUUGUUAUUAAGCAGGCGUAGGUUGAGGUAGAACGAUUAAAUAAUCUGAAAGCCAGCAAGAUGAAAGAGUUGGUGUUCUAAAGGCAAAAUGAGCUUGAAGAAAUCUACAGAGGGGUUCAUAUGGAUGUAGAUAGUGAUGCAGAGAGUGGCUUGAUGAAUAUAAAAAGGUAAUUACCUGAAAGCGGAAAUAAAUAGUUCCAGGAUCAUAGAAAAUUCAUAUCCGAAUUCAAUGUGUACAUUCUCUGAUAAUGUUUGAUAAUCCACCCGUUGCGAUUAUUAAUCUACAACACAAUUUGCCCUUGUUGUUCUUUUUGUAUUUUGUGAUCUUAGUUUUCUAGUUAUUUUUAGAGAAGAAGAAGAAGUAGAGAGUGUUCUAGAGUUCCUUUCUCCAAAAGUUACGUAACUUCUAUUUUUAAUAUUAAGCAGCUGUUAAGAAUUCAAACUUUGAAAUCCCAACUAUUAUUAACUUUUUUAGCAGAAAAGUAAUUUUCUUUGUUAGGGUUAAUUAGACAUUUCAAUCCUAACGGUCGGGUCAACCCAUCGUGGGUGGACUGGAUCCAAUAUUAGCAUUAAUAAACUAUUUAUAUUAUGUGCCAAUGCAAUAUGGUUGGUCUAUUAGCUCAUGGAGUUCUUAUGCCAAAUUCAUAUUGACAUGCAGGAUCAUUUGAAUGUUUUAGGAUCCCAGAAAAUUAAAUACAAGUCAAAUAAUAUCUGGUGAUGCAUCAAAUUGGAACAUGAUUUGAACUCCUGUUUUGUUGAAGUACUUAUGUAUUUGAAGGUACUAAACUGCUACUCUGUUUAUUUCAUUCUUUUCUUUCUCUUUUCUCAUAUCCAUAUGAUGAAAAUCGAUAUAGUACUGGUAGCGGAGCACACAAGAAUCUGAAAUGUGCUGAGAAAGCUCAAAUUCUUGUCAACAAAAUAACAUGUGAGCAUACAAUUAUCUUUCAUGAAAGUACUUGCUGGACACUUAUCAUUUGUUUGAUUUUGAUUGGGAAACUUCAUGGAUUCCAGCCUUUUGAUUGUUCUUUGUGAUCCUUUUUUUUACCUUAAAGCAAUUCCAACUCCCAACAUGGUGAAUUGAACUUGUCUCUUGAGUUGUUUGUUGUAGUAGACAUAGAAGCCAUGUCUAACCUUCCAAAUGCAAUGUCGAAACUUUUAAAUAACGGUUUUUGCAUAGGGACACUAAAACCAGGUGAGCUUUUGUGUUCACAUGAAUUGCUCAUUUGUUAUUGCUUUUUUUUUUUUUCUAAAGAUGUGCUUUGUGUUCUAAUUCGGCCACUGCUGAGCUAUUUCUUUGCUACUUUAAAUAUUUUUUAUCCUAAUUUUCAGCUACAAUAGCCAUAGCAGUCUGUUAAUUUAUAUUCUAAUUGGUUAAAUAUAAUUUAAUUGAUUUUUUUCUUUUUUGUUUAAGGAUGGUGGAAAGAAGAGUGGGCAUUUUACUUUAUGAUUGUUAAAGAGGCUUGUGAUUUAGGGGUCUUUUGACGGUUUCUUUCAUCCAAAAUUUAAAUUUUCUUAUUGGAUUAUGAUGAGGUGUGUUAAAAUUGUUCAUGUUAACUACUUAUUAUACAAAUUUAUUACUUAAAUUUGAAUUAAAAAUUAUUUUGUUAUAAUA